UGUUGACCUCGGAUCAGGUAGGAAUACCCUUAUUUUGCCC
rnacentral:rRNA from 1 species